rnacentral:rRNA from 1 species
CUGCAUGGCUGUCGUCAGCUCGUGUCGUGAGAUGUUCGGUUAAGUCCGCUAACGAGCGCAACCCUCACUGUGUGUUAUAUGUGUCACACGGGACUGCCGGUUUUAAGCCGGAGGAAGGUGGGGAUGACGUCAAGUCAGCAUGGCCUUUAUAUCCUGGGCUACACACACGCUACAAUGGUCGGUACAAUAGGUUGCCAAGCCGCGAGGCGGAGCCAAUCCAAAAAAGACCGGCCUCAGUUCAGAUUGUAGGCUGCAACUCGCCUGCAUGAAGAUGGAGUUGCUAGUAACCGCAGGUCAGCAAUACUGCGGUGAAUACGUUCCCGGGUCUU